AAGGGCGACUGAACUGUCAAAAGCUCACCUUGAGAAUCUGCGGCGCCGAAUUGUGGUCUGGAGUUUAUUGCACCCAGUCAAAGUCCCUUGGAAUAGGGCAGCGUAGAGGGUGACACUCCCGUUUGAUUGGUUAAGACGUAGAGUCGAGUUGUUUGGGAUUGCAGCUCAAAGUUGGUGGUAAAUUCCAUCAAAGGCUAAAUACAUGUGGGAGACCGAUAGCGUACAAGUACCGUGAGGGAAAGAUGCAAAGAACUUUGAAAAGAGAGUUAAAGAGUACCUGAAAUUGCUGAAAAGGAAGCGAAGGAAUCUAGUAUUACUGCGCCAUAUUUCCCUAGUCGCUUGCGAGUGGGGCGCUGUGGUCAGUGAAGUGCUCGUUUGU
rnacentral:rRNA from 1 species